rnacentral:rRNA from 1 species
GACGAACGCUGGCGGCGUGCCUAAUACAUGCAAGUCGAGCGAAGUUUUUCUGGUGCUUGCACUAGAAAAACUUAGCGGCGAACGGGUGAGUGACACGUAAAGAACCUGCCUCAUAGACUGGGACAACUAUUGGAAACGAUAGCUAAUACCGGAUAACAGUAUUUCUCGCAUGAGAGAUAUUUAAAAGUUGGUUAUGCUAACACUAUGAGAUGGCUUUGCGGUGCAUUAGCUAGUUGGUGGGGUAAAGGCCCACCAAGGCGACGAUGCAUAGCCGACCUGAGAGGGUGAUCGGCCACACUGGGACUGAGACACGGCCCAGACUCCUACGGGAGGCAGCAGUAGGGAAUCUUCCGCAAUGGGCGAAAGCCUGACGGAGCAACGCCGCGUGAGUGAAGAAGGAUUUCGGUUCGUAAAGCUCUGUUGUUAGGGAAGAAUGGAUAUGUAGUAACUAUACAUGUAAGAGACGGUACCUAACCAGAAAGCCACGGCUAACUACGUG